GCCACGGUGGUUCAGCGGUUAGAACGCUGGCCUUGUAAUCCUGGGGUCUCGGGUUCGAUUCCCGGCGGUGCCC
rnacentral:tRNA from 1 species